GCCCGGUUAGCAUAAAUAGUAAUGUAGCUGUUUUGUAACCAGCUGAAGCAAGUGCAAUACUUGCACUGGGCU
rnacentral:tRNA from 1 species